GUCUGCUCCACCUGCACUAAUCACAGAUCUGAUAACACGAGGUCUGCUCCACCUGCACUAAUCACAGAUCUGAUAACACAAGGUCUGCUCCACCUGCACUAAUCACAGAUCUGAUAACACAAGGUCUGCUCCACCUGCACUAAUCACUGGUCACGGAUCUGAUAACACGAGGUCUGCUCCACCUGCACUAAUCACAGAUCUGAUAACACGAGGUCUGCUCCACCUGCACUAAUCACAGAUCUGAUAACACGAGGUCUGCUCCACCUGUACUAAUCAUUGGUCACGGAUCUGAUAACACGAGGUCUGCUCCACCUGCACUAAUCACUGGUCACGGAUCUGAUGACACGAGGUCUGCUCCACCUGCACUAAUCACUGGUCACGGAUCUGAUAACACGAGGUCUGCUCCACCUGCACUAAUCACAGAUCUGAUAACACGAGGUCUGCUCCACCUGCACUAAUCACUGGUCACAGAUCUGAUAACACGAGGUCUGCUCCACCUGCACUAAUCACUGGUCACGGAUCUGAUAACACAAGGUCUGCUCCACCUGCACUAAUCACUGGUCACAGAUCUGAUAACACGAGGUCUGCUCCACCUGCAC